rnacentral:rRNA from 1 species
AUUGAACGCUGGCGGCAUGCCUUACACAUGCAAGUCGAACGGCAGCACGGGGCAACCUGGUGGCGAGUGGCGAACGGGUGAGUAAUGCAUCGGAACGUACCUUUCAGUGGGGGAUAACGUAGCGAAAGUUACGCUAAUACCGCAUAUUCUGUGAGCAGGAAAGCAGGGGAUCGCAAGACCUUGCGCUGAUUGAGCGGCCGAUGUCAGAUUAGCUAGUUGGUGAGGUAAAGGCUCACCAAGGCGACGAUCUGUAGCGGGUCGGAGAGGAUGAUCCGCCACACUGGAACUGAGACACGGUCCAGACUCCUACGGGAGGCAGCAGUGGGGAAUUUUGGACAAGGGGGGCAACCCUGAUCCAGCCAUGCCGCGUGAGUGAAGAAGGCCUUCGGGUUGUAAAGCUCUUUCGGCCGGGAAGAAAUCGCACGGGCUAAUACCCUGUGUGGAUGACGGUACCGGAAUAAGAAGCACCGGCUAACUACGUGCCAGCAGCCGCCGUAAUAC